AAAGGAAUUGACGGGGGCCCGCACAAGCGGUGGAGCAUGUGGUUUAAUUCGACGCAACGCGAAGAACCUUACCAAGGCUUGACAUCCCGCUAAGGGAGCGGAGACGCUCCCGUGCCCUUCGGGGAAAGCGGAGACAGGUGGUGCAUGGUUGUCGUCAGCUCGUGUCGUGAGAUGUUGGGUUAAGUCCCGCAACGAGCGCAACCCUUGCCCUUAGUAGCCAGCAUUCAGAUGGGGACUCUAAGGGGACUGCCGCGGAUAACGCGGAGGAAGGUGGGGACGACGUCAAAUCAUCAUGCCCUUUAUGUCUUGGGCUACACACGUGCUACAAUGGGCGCGACAGAGCGAAGCGAAGCGGCGACGCGGAGCAAAGCGCAAAAAAGCGCCCUCAGUUCGGAUUAAGGGCUGCAACCCGCCCUUAUGAAGCUGGAAUCGCUAGUAAUCGCGAAUCAGCAUGUCGCGGUGAAUACGUUCCCGGGCCUUGUACACACCGCCCGU
rnacentral:rRNA from 1 species